AUACUUACCUGGCAAGAGGGAUAUCAUGAUCACGAAGGUGGUUUUCCCAGAGCGAGGCUUAUCCAUUGCACUCUGAUGUGCUGACCCCUGUGAUUUCCCCAAAUGCAGGAAACUCGACGACAUAAUUUGUGGUAGUGGGGGACUGCGUUCGCUCUCUCCCCUC